ensembl:lncRNA
CCCAGAAUGCUGUAUUCUACAAAGCAAAAACCAAUGAGAAUAUUUUCACAAGGCACAAAUCAGUUACGUUUAAGCAAGGCAUUUAUUCAGACAAAUAAAGCUUAACUAAAUAAAGCCUUGUAUAAAUAAGCAAAGCCUUGUAGGAAGUCUAAAGUGCAUACAAGACAAAUAAUCUUCUGACAUUUCAGCUUUGUGUGUGUGGUGUGUGUUUGUGUUGACCAAUCAUUGCAAGCCAAUGAUUGGCUUGUUAAAACAUGUGACACCGUUUUUCCAGCUAAUAUAGCAGGGCUGAAGGCUGAGAGCAGAAGCCCUGGAAGCUGUCAGAGAGGAGCCAUGGACACUGUCUCUGAACCGGACCCUGGACUCACUAUGGAACCUGAGGACAAGUCUUUGGACCCGAGGAAGACCAGCCACAGAAGAUUUGGUUCAGUGAUGCCCACGGAGGAGGAGGAGGACGCACCCAGCAUCACAGAGUUCCACUCCUCUACCCACGUGUUGCCCGUGGGCCAAACGGCCCGCUACACCUGCCACGCCGGCGGCACGCCGGAGCCCACAGUAGAGUGGCUCCACAACGGCAGGCCCCUGGAGAGGGACGGCACAGUCGACCAAUCAGAGGCCUGGGUGGAGAGGGGCUUCCUCUUCGUCAGAGGUGGGAGGUACGGCGUGAACACGGUCUGCUGCAUGGCGAGCAACAGCGCUGGCACGGCCAAUCACAGCGCUGAGCUGCUUGUCUUUGAUGCCUGUGACCUCACACUGGACCCCAACACGGCCCACAGACGACUCUCUCUGUCUGAGGACAACAGGAAGGUGACGAAGUUUGGAGAGGACCAGUCGUAUCCGGAUCACCAGAAAGAUUGACUCCUGGGCCCAGGUGUUGGGUAGAGAGGCUCUGACUGGCCGCUGUUACUGGGAGGUAGAGUGGGAAGGACAUGUUGAGAUAGGAGUGACAUACAGAGGAAUCACAAGGAGAGGAGUGGGUGGUGACAGCAGGCUUGGAUGGAACAACAAGUCCUGGGUUCUUUAUUGUUCUGAUGGUGGUUACUCUGCCCGGUACAACGGUACAGAGACAGCCCUCCCUCUCCGCCCCGCUGGCUCCACCAGAGUAGGAGUGUAUCUGGACCGGCCUGCUGGCUCUCUGUCCUUCUACAGAGUGUCCCCAGGUGGAGGAGGGUCCUCAGACACACUGACACACCUCCACACCUUCUGGUCCUCCUUCACCCAGGAGGACCUCCUCCCGGGGGUGGGGGUAUGGGGGGGGGUCCUCAGCGUCUCUGUGUCGGUUGUAGAUUUUUUUUUUUGGCCGAUUAGGGAGCAGGAGCCCCAGCAGGAGGGGGAGCCCCCCCAGUUCACGUCAUCACGUUCUGGGGGGGCAGCGUCUCUGUGAUCCCUCAGUUGUAGAAAAAUGGGGGGGGGUCAGCGGGGUGCCUCAUAUUCAGUGUCCGCCCCGGCAGACGCACACACACACACACACACACACACACACACACACACACACACACACACACACACACACACACACUGAGAGGACUGAUGACUGUCUCUGUGGCAGUUAUAGUCUCUCUCUCACAAAACACACACACACACACACAUACACACGUACACAAAAAACACACACACACGCGCACACACACAAAAACACACAUACACACAAAAACACGCACACGCAUGCAUGCGCGAGCGCGCAUGCACACACACACUGACUGAGAGGACUGAUGACUGUGGCAGUCAUAGUUAUAGUCUCUCUCUCUCUCUCUCUCUCUCUCUCUCUCUCUCUCUCUCUCUCUCUCUCUCUCUCUCUCUCUCUCUCUCUCUCUCUCUCUCUCUCUCUCUCUAUCUCCCAUAGUUAGAUAAGCACAUUUUUUAUGGUAAUUGGAUAUCAAAUACAUUGAUGGUAAAUCUUUUUAUAUUUUCAGACUUCACCAGUUUAAGUCUUAAUGUCUCUGAUAUGAUUUUUGUCAUAAUCCUGAUUUGCGACCAGAUUUAAAGCAGAUGUUAUUUUGUAUUCAUAAUAACCGAGAUGUCUAUGGGAUAAUGUUGCAUGUUGUAAAUGACUUUAAACUGAAUCUUGAUUUUUUGUGUUCUGUUGGGAACCAAGCGGCCGCAGAACAUGUUCAGUUAUUAAAGAUACGUGCUCACCUGUAGAUGAUUUGUAAAGUCUGCUGCUUCUAUUGUUUUAGUCCUCGUGUUUAUUGUGUUCAUGUAAGGGACUAUUUUUCUGUCUUAUUUGUUAAUGAAGCAUAAUUGUAAUAAACAACUCAGUGGAUCCAACUGAAUGUUCUCGCAGAUGAUUUCUCGUUUUAUUAGUGAAUAAUAAGUCCAUAAAAGCCUUAUGAAAAAUUAUAAAUGGAACAAAAAAUGUUUGUUCUAGACCGAUAUUAUUCUUGGACCUUCUCGCUGGGUUUUGGUUGGGGGGGGGGGCUCAGUCUCUCUGUGUCGGUUGUAGAAAGAAACCACAGACAGACGGCCGGAUACUCUCUCUCUCUCUCUCUCUCUCUCUCUCUCUCUCUCUCUCUCUCUCUCUCUCUCUCUCUCUCUCUCUCUCUCUCUCUCUCCCAGUCUCUAUUAUUUUGCAAUUGUUCAAUUAAAGGCUGUAGAUAAAACACAAUGAGAUAGACUACAUGUCUCGUAUGUGCCAUCACGCUCCCGUAACUAGCGUGGACAAGGCCGCCAAUCUCCCCACCGGCUUAACUGAAACUCUCCACAUGCCCAAACUCAUAAUGGUGUUCACCUCUUUUGAUGCUUGUAUCCUCCCCUUGGAAAAAACCUAACAGUAUCAAACUUCUUCACGAAAAUGUUUAGUUUUCUUUGCAUGAAAAAUUAUCAUUUAAAUCCACAAACAUCAUAUGUGUAACCCGGGGCAUAUAAAGACUGGGACCAGACAAUAAUUACUUUCUCUCCAUUGAAACCCAUUCAUAUUCUCCGAUCUCAUAGGUCCCAUGGGCUCUACCGGAAGGGGCGUGGCUUCGCCACUCUGUAGGUCCAUGACUAGCCCUAGGCUAACGUCUUGCCCAACACUUUACCCGGGAUAACGUCAAACUGUUGCCGUGUUAACGGGACUAAACACCAACCGCCGCAGUGUGGGCAGCUGGGGCUGGGGGAGGGCUGCGGGGGGACGGGGCGCGCCACCCCUCCUCGUCCCAGCCGCCGGCGUGGCCGUCGACGGGCCAGACGUCGGAGGGCGGCGGAGGACGGGGUCCCCGAACGGCGCUCCAACGGCCCCCUACGACGGAUCAGGUGGGGGCCCCGAAGGAGGUGGUCCCCGACCACACCCCCAGGGCUCCUGCUGACUCUGGGGUCUGGCAGACGAGGGCCUUCGCUAAGGAUUCUGGGGGUUCUCCUGUUCUAGGGGGCGGGACCGUUUCGGGGCCCUCCUGGGUCAUUUGUGGUUGGUAAACUAAUCAGGGUUCAUGGGUUGGGGUUUAUCGAUGUCGGGGUGUGUUGGUGACUCUUGUGUUCAUGUUGUGUUCAUUGCACCAUUACUGAAAGUGUUAGUGUGGUUGAAUGGUGGCGUGUGUUCUAGUGUGUACCGUGCUGGUGUUAUUAAAGGCAGCUCCGUUGUCCAGCGGUGUAUGGGGCGCGGAGCUGCGGCCGACUGCUAAACCUGGGCUCCCGUCUCGUCCUUCACCUGCUGCUCACCACAAUAUGAUUGUUGAAGUUAAACGGAUUGAAUUAUGGAACAUGAUUGUCUAGUGGGCUCAUGUUUAAAAGGAUUAUGGUG